GUGCCAGCCGCCGCGGUAAUACGAAGGGUGCAAACGUUGCUCGGAAUCAUUGGGCGUAAAGCGCACGUAGGCGGCUUCAUAAGUCGGAUGUGAAAUCCCGUGGCUCAACCAUGGACGUGCAUCCGAAACUAUGAGGCUUGAGUAUGGAAGAGGGUCGCGGAAUUCCCGGUGUAGAGGUGAAAUUCGUAGAUAUCGGGAGGAACACCAGUGGCGAAGGCGGCGACCUGGGCCAAUACUGACGCUGAGGUGCGAAAGCGUGGGGAGCAAACAGGAUUAGAUACCCUCGUAGUCC
rnacentral:rRNA from 1 species